rnacentral:lncRNA from 1 species
CGACUGGAGAAAGGGGACACAAGCGCGGCUCUGUGACGCGCUCCGGUCACGCUCCGCCUGCUCUUCCGCGGAGUUUCCUAGUAAGCGGGAGCGCGCCGCGGUGAGCACAUUCACAGAGAAUUUCAAUACCUAGGAAAUGAGUCAUAAGCGGAGCCGCAUGUUCGCGCGUGGGCGGCUCCCGACAGCUCGCAUAGUACUGCGGCUGACUCACUCACUGACUGGGUACACGGCUGCUGUCGCUGCACUCGAACCCGAGCUCUCGAACGCAAUGGACCCGAAAGUGCUCUUGUACGUAACUUGGGGAGCGAUGCUCGCGGCCGGGACGAGCGCGCAGAACAGUCAGUGUGGCCGAGAUGAGUUUUGGAAUUCGGACAUAGGCCAAUGUGUGCCCUGUUCAACGUGCCAGAAAUAUCCAAAGACCCCAUCAUGCGAGACAUGCUCUUUAGCAGAAAGCAGCUCUGAUGUCUGGAAGCUGGCAGCCAUUACUAGUUUCUCCACCCUGGCAAUCGUACUGUUUGUAGGUGUCCUGCUAGUAGGAAUACUGGUGCAUCGAUCUAGGUCGAGGAGGAAAAGCAAUUUACGUGAACCUGUUGAGGAGACGACCGGACCUCUUUAUCAGAUAUGAACAUUUGCACAGUUUACACCUGAGCAAAUGUCACCUGUACUGAUGUGCCCAGCUGACAGAUUUCUGUAAAAGGCACCAGAACAUGAGAGAAGUUUGGGACGACCGUAAUUCCAUUCACUUCCUCAGUGUUUAUAACGCCUGUCUGCUGUUCUUCAAUGUCUGUGAUGAAUAAGAUGAACAUUGCACACAUAAGAUGAAGCAGUAAACAAAAAGCAUUGAAUAGAAGUUUGUUUUAAUUUCAUUCAUUUUAAAUUAUUUUUAAUUUUAUUGUAGAUCACUUAAUAAAAAUAUUAAGCCUUAAAUAUUUUUUAAAUUU